rnacentral:lncRNA from 1 species
UUUCACACACUCAAAUUAACUUCUCCAUCAACAAGCAUUACAUUAUUUCAAAAAUAUCAAACUGAAAAAUCAAAUUACCUUGCAUAGGUUGGGGACCUUCAACGAGCACAUCAGAGCUAGAAACUAGCAUCUCAAAGUCCUCUUCCAGAUUCUGUUGCAUACACAAAAAAUUAGUGAAAAUUGAAAAAUCAGUGAACAGAUCUAAAACCCUAGUAAUCAUCAAACAAAAAAGAAUUGCCAUAGAAAAUUGUAAAAACGAUGAAAUUUGAAAAUCGAUUCGGUGAAUGAAAUUGAAGCGGAAACGAAAUGACGAAAUUGAAAAUCGAUUCAGUGAAUGAAUUUGAAGCGGAAACGAAAUGAAGAAAUUGAAAAUGGAUUAGGUGAAUGAAGGAUUUUUGGGGAUGACAUUGAAUUGAAAGAAGAACAAAUCGCGAUAAAGAGUGAUGAAGUGAAAAGAAUGUAUGAGAAUCAUAAAGGGAAAUAAAAUUGCGAAAGAGUGAGGAUUGGGGCUGCCUAGCAAUUUUAGGUUUUUAAGAGAACAAAACUGGAUUCAGUUUCAGAGAACAAAAAAUUAAUAGUAUUCAUA